GGAAAUGAAUUCCACCAUGGUUUUGACUGUGAGGUGGCCAAGGCAAGUGCGAGAGUGAAUAAUCACCUACAGGCAAAGCUGACCAAGAAAACUUCUCAGAAACCGCCCACCACGAGGAACCUUAGAAAAAUCGGAGGCUCAAAACUCUGUAGCCAGGGUUCCAAGGUGAAUGAAGAGCUGAAUCAGAACGGACCAGAGGAGGUCCCAGAGAGUGUGGAGAUGCCUGUCAUUCCAGCGGGACCGGUGGGCAGCCAGUGACUUGAAGGUAUGGCUAGAGACCUCAGAAAUCUUUGGGGGUCUUGCCACUGAGUACUGGCAAACAGUACAGACAUUGACUAUUAUACCAACUGCA
rnacentral:lncRNA from 1 species